GACGUAGGGGGCGAGCGUUGUCCGGAUUCAUUGGGCGUAAAGCGCGCGUAGGCGGCUGCGCAAGUCGGUUGUGAAAUUCCGGGGCUCAACCCCGGAACUGCGUCCGAUACUGCGUGGCUAGAGGUAGGUAGGGGAGAUCGGAAUUCCUGGUGUAGCGGUGAAAUGCGCAGAUAUCAGGAGGAACACCGGUGGCGAAGGCGGAUCUCUGGGCCUUACCUGACGCUGAGACGCGAAAGCGUGGGGAGCGAACCGG
rnacentral:rRNA from 1 species